rnacentral:rRNA from 1 species
AGCUUGCUUUUUGCUGACGAGUGGCGCACGGGUGCGUAACGCGUAUACAAUCUGCCUUUUACUGGGGGAUAGCCUUUGGAAACGAAGAAUAAUACCCCAUAGUAUCUAAAUUUCGCAUGUUAUUUAGAUUAAAGCUUCGGCGGUAAGAGAUGAGUAUGCGUUCUAUUAGCUAGAUGGUGUGGUAACGGCACACCAUGGCAACGAUAGAUAGGGGCCCUGAGAGGGGGAUCCCCCACACUGGUACUGAGACACGGACCAGACUCCUACGGGAGGCAGCAGUGAGGAAUAUUGGACAAUGGGCGAAAGCCUGAUCCAGCCAUGCCGCGUGCAGGAAGACUGCCCUAUGGGUUGUAAACUGCUUUUAUACGGGAAGAAACCCACCUACGUGUAGGUGGCUGACGGUACCGUAAGAAUAAGCACCGGCUAACUCCGUGCCAGCAGCCGCGGUAAUACGGAGGAUGCAAGCGUUAUCCGGAAUCAUUGGGUUUAAAGGGUCCGUAGGUGGAUUAGUAAGUCAGAGGUGAAAGCCUGCAGCUCAACUGUAGAACUGCCUUUGAUACUGCUAGUCUUGAAUUAUUGUGAAGUGGUUAGAAUAUGUAGUGUAGCGGUGAAAUGCAUAGAUAUUACAUAGAAUACCGAUUGCGAAGGCAGAUCACUAACAAUAUAUUGACACUGAUGGACGAAAGCGUGGGGAGCGAACGGGAUUAGAUACCCCGGUAGUCCACGCCGUAAACGAUGGUCACUAGCUGUUCGGAUUUCGGUCUGAGUGGCUAAGCGAAAGUGAUAAGUGACCCACCUGGGGAGUACGUUCGCAAGAAUGAAACUCAAAGGAAUUGACGGGGGCCCGCACAAGCGGUGGAGCAUGUGGUUUAAUUCGAUGAUACGCGAGGAACCUUACCAGG